UACGUAGGGUGCAAGCGUUGUCCGGAAUUAUUGGGCGUAAAGAGCUCGUAGGCGGUUUGUCGCGUCUGCUGUGAAAACCCGAGGCUCAACCUCGGGCCUGCAGUGGGUACGGGCAGACUAGAGUGCGGUAGGGGAGAUUGGAAUUCCUGGUGUAGCGGUGGAAUGCGCAGAUAUCAGGAGGAACACCAAUUGCGAAGGCAGAUCUCUGGGCCGUAACUGACGCUGAGGAGCGAAAGCAUGGGGAGCGAACAGG
rnacentral:rRNA from 1 species